GUUGAGUCCUGAUGAUUGCGUGUCGCAUAAGUGUUGCUGUGACUGCUGUGCCGUUCCUUUUCUUUCUGAAUUAGUAUCUGAGCUUAUAUACGUGGCGUUGAGGCUGUUUCUGCUAUUGAGAAAAAUAAGCGGAGCUGGAAUGUUGGUUGUUGGUUUCGGGCCGAGACGAAAGGCUUUCCUGUGACGCAUUUGGUUCAUGUAUUCGACGAGCCAAGGUUAUUCCUUUUCAGGAUAUGGAAGACGAAGCUUCAGGAGAGUUAUGUUUAUUUUCUGUUUAUUCGGUCUUUUUGUAUCACCGUAGCUAUUAUUUUUCCCUCACCUUUAUCUUUAUGAAGCUUGUAAGAGGGAUAGGAAAUUAUGAUAUGUAUAAUUGUAAACUAGUGUUAUGUAUAUGUAUAUAUAUAUCUU